rnacentral:rRNA from 1 species
GAUGAACGCUGGCGGCGUGCCUAAUACAUGCAAGUCGAGCGAAUGGAUUAAGAGCUUGCUCUUAUGAAGUUAGCGGCGGACGGGUGAGUAACACGUGGGUAACCUGCCCAUAAGACUGGGAUAACUCCGGGAAACCGGGGCUAAUACCGGAUAACAUUUUGAACCGCAUGGUUCGAAAUUGAAAGGCGGCUUCGGCUGUCACUUAUGGAUGGACCCGCGUCGCAUUAGCUAGUUGGUGAGGUAACGGCUCACCAAGGCAACGAUGCGUAGCCGACCUGAGAGGGUGAUCGGACACACUGGGACUGAGACACGGACCAGACUCCUACGGGAGGCAGCAGUAGGGAAUCUUCCGAAAUGGACGAAAGUCUGACGGAGCAACGCCGCGUGAGUGAUGAAGGCUUUCGGGUCGUAAAACUCUGUUGUUAGGGAAGAACAAGUGCUAGUUGAAUAAGCUGGCACCUUGACGGUACCUAACCAGAAAGCCACGGCUAACUACGUGCCAGCCGCCGCGGUAA